UUUGUUAAGAAUUUGAUCCUAGUUCAGGGUGAAUGCUAGCGGUGUGCUUAAGAUAUGCAAGUCGAGCGAUUCUUCGCAAGAAGGAUAGCGGCGAACGGCUGAGUAACACGUAGGAACCUACCCCCAACUCAGGGAUAGCUCCGGGAAACCGGAAUUAAUACCUGAUGUGAAGGCAACUUUAAAGAUUUAUCGGUUGGGGAUGGGCCUGCGGCCUAUCAGGUAGUUGGCGGGGUAAAUGCCCACCAAGCCUACGACGGGUAGCUGAUGUUAGCGCAUGAUCAGCCAGAGGGGCACUGAGACACGGGCCUCACUCCUACGGGAGGCAGCAAUCGGGAAUUUUGCGCAAUGGACGAAAGUCUGACGCAGCGACACCGCGUGAGGGAUGACGGCCUUCGGGUUGUAAACCUCGUUAUAAGCACCGGCUAACUACGUGCCAGCAGCAGCGGUCAUACGUAGGGUGCAAGCAUUACCCGGUAUUACUGGGCGUAAAGAGUUCUGUAGGCGGUUAUAUAAGUUAGGGGUUAAAGACCGAGGCUCAACCUCGGAAAGGCUCUUAAUACUGUAUAACUAGGAGGAAACUAGGGGAUAGCGGAACGUAUGGUGUAGCAGUGAAAUGCGUUGAUAUCAUACGGAACACCAAGGGGGAAGCCAGCUAUCUGGGGUUUUCCUGACGCUGAGAGACGAAAGCGUGGGGAGCAAAACGGAUUAGAUACCCGUGUAGUCCACGCUGUAAACCAUGUCUGCUAGAUGCUUGUUUUAUUAUAAGUGUCAAAGCUAACGCGUUAAGCAGACCGCCUGGGAAGUACGGUCGCAAGGCUAAAACUCAAAGGAAUUGGCGGGGACCCGCACAAGCGGUGGAGCAUGCUCUUUAAUUGGCUGAUAACCCACGAACCUUACCAGGACUUGACAUGUAGUCGGUAGUGAACCGAAAGGGGAACGACCCGUCGCAAGAUGGGAAGCUACACAGGUGUUGCAUGGCUGUUGUCAGCUCGUACCGUGAGGCGUACCCUUAAGUGGGUUAACGAGCGCAACCCCUACUGCUAGUUGUAUCACUCUAGCGGAACUGCCUCGGCAACGAGGAGGAAGGUGGGGAUGACUUCAAGUCGGUAUUGCCUUUAUGUCCUGGGCCAGAAGCAUGCUACAAUGGCUAGCACAACGAGUUGCAAAGUCGUAAGACGGAGCUAAUCUCUUAAAUCUAGUCUCAGUUCGGAUUGAGGGCUGCAAUUCGCCCUCAUGAAGUCGGAAUCGCUAGUAAUCGCAGGUCAGCUAUACUGCGGUGAAUACGUUCUCGGGUCUUGCACACACUGCCCGUCACGUCAGCAAAGCUGGGGCCACCCGAAGUCUCAAUUUAUUGGGCCCACGGUGGAAUCAGUGAUGAGGAUGAAGUCGUAACAAGGUAGCCGUAGGGGAAUCUGCGGCUGGAUCACCUCCUUU
rfam:Candidate division WWE3 bacterium RIFOXYA2_FTLL_46_9 rifoxya2_full_scaffold_200, whole genome shotgun sequence.